CUAACGGGCUCAGGACUCAGGUGGAAAGAGACCCCGGCGGAACCGACGCAACAACCAUCCUGCGACCGUGACCAGCGCGCAGAUGCGGUGGCCACUGGGGCAGGAGGGAGCGGGUCGUCCCGACGCCGGCCAGCAGCCGGAGGAGUGGAACUAACAAAGAGCUAAUCGCGCACCGAAGCCCCCCGCGAGCGGAAGCAACGCCGCCCCGCCGCCCCCGCCUGGCUACCCUCCCCAAGUUCAGGGCCGGCAGACGACUCGCACGCGGGGCCUGCAGCCAGGCCGGAGCCGGGUUCGCGGUCGGGAUGCGGGAAACAGCACUGUACAGAGAAGGCACUGAGUAGACGUUUGUUGGUCUGAACUGAGCUUCUGUUUCUCAUACCUCAAGAGAGGACAUAAAACAAAGCACGGAAGCUUUGCAAGCUCGGCUCACAGCUACCUGACUAAAGAUUGCCUUCCCAGCCCCCCCUUGCAGCCAGACAUGGCCGUGUGACAAACUUCGUGCCAGUCGAAUGUGAGCAGCUCAUGGAGUCUUCCUGGAUCAGGAACAAUGCAAACUCCCACCUUCUAUAGCAGAUUGUUCCUUUUUAUUCUCCUGACUUAAAAAAAAAAAAUGUUGGGCAUCUUCAAGAGAUUCAUAAAUGACACAAGGUUAAAAAGAAAAAUCGUACAAAUGAAGAACAUCAAGACAAAAAUGCAAAUGAAGUGUUGAAGACCGAGAUCUGUCGCCUGGAUUAAAGCAACUAUAACGUGAGGUCCUAUGCAGCAGGUACCAAGCAGAGCAGGGCAUGACUGUCACAGGGAACACUGCACACGA